rnacentral:rRNA from 1 species
CCUACGGGUGGCAGCAGUGAGGAAUAUUGGUCAAUGGGCGCGAGCCUGAACCAGCCAAGUCGCGUGAGGGAAGACGGUCCUAUGGAUUGUAAACCUCUUUUGUCGGGGAGCAAAAGACGCCACGCGUGGCGUUCCGAGAGUACCCGAAGAAAAAGCAUCGGCUAACUCCGUGCCAGCAGCCGCGGUAAUACGGGGGAUGCGAGCGUUAUCCGGAUUUAUUGGGUUUAAUGGGUGCGCAGGCGGAAGAUCAAUUCAGCGGUAAAAAUGAGAGGCUCAACCUCUUCGAGCCGUUGAAACUGGUGUGCUUGAGUGAGCGAGAAGUAUGCGGAAUGCGUGGUGUAGCGGUGAAAUGCAUAGAUAUCACGCAGAACUCCGAUUGCGAAGGCAGCAUACCGGCGCUCAACUGACGCUCAUGCACGAAAGUGUGGGUAUCGAACAGGAUUAGAUACCCCUGUAGUC